UAGAAAAUCAAAUUUCCCUUUUGUUUGGUAUAGUUAGAGAAAUGGAGCAUAGUCCGUACGGAGGAGGAGGAGGAGGAGGUGGAGGAGGUAGUUGGACGAUGAUCCCUACCAACAUACAGAGCCAUAGUAAUGUCUCUACGCCUUCGAAUCAGGAAAAUCUGUAUGGCCAUCACCAUCAGCAACAAUUUCAACCACACCAAUCUCCGCUUUAUCAACAACAACAACAACAACAACAACCUCUUCUCCUUCAACAGCAGCAACAGCAACUGCAACCGCAACAAACACCACCGCCACCGCCACCGGCACAACAACAACCACAACCACAACCACCACCACAACAGCACCACCAGUCACUAGCUUCCCACUUCCAUCUCUUCCAUUUGGUGUCGAAAUUAGCGGAGACGGUUGACAAUGGAACUAGGGAUCAGCAAUCUGAUGCUUUGAUAAGCGAUUUGAAUACCCACUUCGAGAAGUGUCAGCAGCUGUUGAACUCCAUAUCCGGUUCUAUUAGCACUAAAGCCAUGACAGUUGAUGGGCAAAAGAAAAAACUGGAAGAGAGCCAACAAAUGUUAAACCAAAGGAGGGACCUGAUGAACAAGUACAUACACUCUGUUCAAGAGCUGGUCAAGUCUGAGCCUUAGAUGCUUGUUAAGAACUUCUGGAUAUGAAUAAAUCAGGCAAGGUGAAGUAGAUUUGUUUCAGAGAAAUGCUAAAGAGCACUCUAGAUGCCAUUGAGUUCACGUAGAACCUGCUACUUAAUUGUUUUAUUGCAGUAAAGCUAUGAAUGUAAAAGCCUCCCGAGUCCUGCCAAAAGAAAAAACCUUCAUUCCUUAUUCUUUUUUGGUUGUAAAAUAUUCUUAUUAGUAUCAUUGUUAUUGUACAUUGAAAGCCCACCUUGGGUAGCCAAUGUGUAAUGACGGGUGUUCAUUGGAUCACAUCCAAUGUUUUUAGGCCUAUCCAAAUCCGAUCCAAUCAUAUAUUGGAUGUUAGAUUUUACCAUCCGAUCCGAUCCAAUUAAUUUCGUCAUCCAAUCGAUCCAACAUCAUUGGAUGUUGGAUUGGAUCGGUUCUAUCCAUUGGAUGUAUUUCAUAUAUAUUUAUUUGUUUAAUUUGGAUUUAUCUAA